CAAUUUAUGAUCAGUGUUCUCUUCACAGUUACUGAGAACAGUGACUCUAAUCAUGGAAUGGAGCUGGGUCUUUCUCUUCCUCCUGUCAGUAACUGCAGGUGUCCAUUCUCAGGUCCAGCUGCAGCAAUCAGGAGCCAAGUUGGUGAAGCCUGGGGCUUCAGUGAAGCUGUCCUGCAAGGCUUCUGGCUACACCUUCACUAGCUACGAUAUGCACUGGGUAAAGCAGAGUCCUGGACAGGGCCUUGAGUGGAUUGGAUGGAUUUAUCCUGGAAAUGGUAAUACUGGCUAUAAUCAGAAGUUCAAGGGCAAGGCCACACUGACUGCAGACACAUCCUCUAGCACAGCCUAUAUGCAACUCAGCAGCCUGACAUCUGAGGACUCUGCGGUAUAUUACUGUGCAAGACACAGUGUUAAAACCACAUCCUGAGUGUGUCAGAAACCC